AGCCUAAACCUAGAGAUUAUUCUAUAGGCAUGGCACUAAAUAUACCCACCUGCAUUCUGAACCCGUCGUUCAGCUCCAUGCAGGUGGUCUAUACCCGAAAGGGUAUAGGAAGGCGAAAGCCUUC
rnacentral:sRNA from 1 species